rnacentral:rRNA from 1 species
GACGAACGUUGGCGGCGUGCCUAAUACAUGCAAGUUGAGCGCUGAAGGUUGGUACUUGUACCAACUGGAUGAGCAGCGAACGGGUGAGUAACGCGUGGGGAAUCUGCCUUUGAGCGGGGGACAACAUUUGGAAACGAAUGCUAAUACCGCAUAAAAACUUUAAACACAAGUUUUAAGUUUGAAAGAUGCAAUUGCAUCACUCAAAGAUGAUCCCGCGUUGUAUUAGCUAGUUGGUGAGGUAAAGGCUCACCAAGGCGAUGUUACAUAGCCGACCUGAGAGGGUGAUCGGCCACAUUGGGACUGAGACACGGCCCAAACUCCUACGGGAGGCAGCAGUAGGGAAUCUUCGGCAAUAGACGAAAGUCUGACCGAGCAACGCCGCGUGAGUGAAGAAGGUUGUCGGAUCGUAAAACUCUGUUGGUAGAGAAGAACGUUGGUGAGAGUGGAAAGCUCAUCAAGUGACGGUAACUACCCAGAAAGGGACGGCUAACUACGUG